UGCUUCAAACAUCCCGCCACAGCUCAACCUCCGCGCAGAGGCCACCGAGGACGCAAAGCAGAACCACGAACUCCUGGCGCUGCCUGCGCGGAUGAGGGUUGUCUCCCAAAAUUAGGAACUUCAGAAACGCAGUACCAAGUCUCUUGGUUGUAUGUCCCAGGAAUACCCAAGCAUCCAAUUGCAUAGGCUGCGCGCAUCCAAGGUCUCCAUUUCUCGAUGCUCGGCUUUGUCCUCUUGCCGCCAUCCCUCACCCAUCCCGAGCCCAAUGGUGGAAUCAUGGACUGGACCAGUCUUGCCAUCUUCCCCUCGCUGCUCACAGCGGUCUGGCAGUGCCAUUCUCUGUAAGGCACUCGACUAAAGAGCCAGCGGAAAGGAAAUCCCUCUCUACUUCCACAAACUUGAUGUAGAUGGAUUUGGGGGAGACUCCGGGA